GCUCCUAUACUCCUCUUAUUCUGACGUCAUGGGUUUUUGGAAAGUCCUUUAGAUCCCUUUUCUGAUUGUGACAUUGUCAUUCUUUAGUUGCGAACCAGAGACUCACGGUGUCAUUCUUUGGCCGCAAACCAAAGAUGCAUGGCGUCAUUCUCUGACUGCGAACCAGAGAUGCAAAAUGUCAUUUUCUUGUCACGAAUCGAGGACCCACGACAUCAUUCUUAGGUCACGAAUUGAAGAACAUGACAUCGUUCUAUGGUGGUGCCAUUCUCUGAUCGCAAACCGGAGACUUAUGGCAUCAUUUUUCUAGCCUUGAAUCCAUUGUGGUUCCAUUUUUUGUUUCAUUUUUUCGUUCAAUUUUAGUUGGUUGUUUGGGCCUGGAAGGUGCAAUGGAGGGAAUGGCGGAAGAAAUAUUUUUUUGGGGUCUUUUUGUCAUUUGGGAACAGAGGAGCGGUCGGUUCUUGCCCUCCAUCCAUCCGCCUGUAUGAUGGGGACUAACGGUUUUUCUGUAAGGUGGGCAUGGUUGUCGAGAUGGCAUUAGGCUACCUUACCCAAGCAGGACCGAAAGGUAGAAGGGGUUGCUACCUUUAUUAGAGAUAAUUGAUUCCUUUUGGUUUAGUUUAUUUCUAUUUUAGUUCAGGUUAGUUUAGGUAGUUAUUUAAAACUUUACUUUUCCCACCUGUAUGUGUUGAUAUAAAAGCAACACUUCUGUAUUUAACCUUCACUUUUGAGUAAUACAAAUUUUACUCUGCAUCUUCUUGGCAUCAGUCUUAA